rnacentral:rRNA from 1 species
UCUAACAUGUGCGCGAGUCAUUGGGAUUGUAAAACCUAAAGGCGCAAUGAAAGUGAAGGUCGGCUUCGCGUCGACCGAGGGAGGAUGGGCCGCGUUAUGGCGCGGCUCCGCACUCCCGGGGCGUCUCGUUCUCAUUGCGAGAAGAGGCGCACCCAGAGCGUACACGUUGGGACCCGAAAGAUGGUGAACUAUGCCUGGUCAGGACGAAGUCAGGGGAAACCCUGAUGGAGGUCCG